GAUGAACGCUGGCGGCGUGCCUAAUACAUGCAAGUCGAGCGAACAGACGAGGAGCUUGCUCCUCUGACGUUAGCGGCGGACGGGUGAGUAACACGUGGAUAACCUACCUAUAAGACUGGGAUAACUUCGGGAAACCGGAGCUAAUACCGGAUAAUAUAUUGAACCGCAUGGUUCAAUAGUGAAAGACGGUUUUGCUGUCACUUAUAGAUGGAUCCGCGCCGCAUUAGCUAGUUGGUAAGGUAACGGCUUACCAAGGCGACGAUGCGUAGCCGACCUGAGAGGGUGAUCGGCCACACUGGAACUGAGACACGGUCCAGACUCCUACGGGAGGCAGCAGUAGGGAAUCUUCCGCAAUGGGCGAAAGCCUGACGGAGCAACGCCGCGUGAGUGAUGACGGUCUUCGGAUCGUAAAACUCUGUUAUUAGGGAAGAACAAAUGUGUAAGUAACUAUGCACGUCUUGACGGUACCUAAUCAGAAAGCCACGGCUAACUACGUG
rnacentral:rRNA from 1 species